rnacentral:misc_RNA from 1 species
GAAUUGCGAAAAGUAAUGUGAAUUGCAUAAUUCCGUGAAUCAUCAAAUCUUUGAACGCACCUUGCGCUAGCUGGAAUUCCGGCUAGCAUGCCUGUUUGAGUAUCAGAUAUAUAAAUCACCUUACGGUGGACUUGGGCUGGGUAUAUCCCGCCUUAAAUAUAUGAGUGCUACACUUAUGUGCCAAUAGAGCCAGUCCCUCGGGAAUGUCUAUCGGUCUCAAGGUCGAAUCCUCCAACACACUUUGAAAAUGAUCUCAAAUCAAGCAAGAUUACCCGCUGAACUUAA